AACGAACGCUGGCGGCAUGCCUAACACAUGCAAGUCGAACGAGACCUUCGGGUCUAGUGGCGCACGGGUGCGUAACGCGUGGGAACCUGCCCUUAGGUUCGGAAUAACUCCCCGAAAGGGGUGCUAAUACCGGAUAAUGUCUUCGAACCAAAGAUUUAUCGCCUUUGGAUGGGCCCGCGUUGGAUUAGCUAGUUGGUAGGGUAAAAGCCUACCAAGGCGACGAUCCAUAGCUGGUCUGAGAGGAUGAUCAGCCACACUGGGACUGAGACACGGCCCAGACUCCUACGGGAGGCAGCAGUGGGGAAUAUUGGACAAUGGGCGAAAGCCUGAUCCAGCAAUGCCGCGUGAGUGAUGAAGGCCUUAGGGUUGUAAAGCUCUUUUACCCGGGAUGAUAAUGACAGUACCGGGAGAAUAAGCUCCGGCUAACCCCGUG
rnacentral:rRNA from 1 species